GAUUUCCAAUAUCUGGCACCUCUUGUCUUAUGGGAUUCUUAAAAGUUUCUCGAUGAACUUAACCUUUUGGAACUA